GAUGAACGCUGGCGGCGUGCCUAAUACAUGCAAGUCGAGCGAAUGGAUUAAGAGCUUGCUCUUAUGAAGUUAGCGGCGGACGGGUGAGUAACACGUGGGUAACCUGCCCAUAAGACUAGGAUAACUCCGGGAAACCGGGGCUAAUACCGGAUAACAUUUUGCACCGCAUGGUUCGAAAUUGAACGGCGGCUUCGGCUGUCACUUAUGGAUGGACCCGCGUCGCAUUAGCUAGUUGGUGAGGUAACGGCUCACCAAGGCAACGAUGCGUAGCCGACCUGAGAGGGUGAUCGGCCACACUGGGACUGAGACACGGCCCAGACUCCUACGGGAGGCAGCAGUAGGGAAUCUUCCGCAAUGGACGAAAGUCUGACGGAGCAACGCCGCGUGAGUGAUGAAGGCUUUCGGGUCGUAAAACUCUGUUGUUAGGGAAGAACAAGUGCUAGUUGAAUAAGCUGGCACCUUGACGGUACCUAACCAGAAAGCCACGGCUAACUACGUGCCAGCCGCCGCAGUAA
rnacentral:rRNA from 1 species